rnacentral:rRNA from 1 species
GAUGAGCAUGCGUCCCAUUAGCUAGUUGGUAAGGUAACGGCUUACCAAGGCUACGAUGGGUAGGGGUCCUGAGAGGGAGAUCCCCCACACUGGUACUGAGACACGGACCAGACUCCUACGGGAGGCAGCAGUGAGGAAUAUUGGACAAUGGGCGCAAGCCUGAUCCAGCCAUGCCGCGUGCAGGAUGACGGUCCUAUGGAUUGUAAACUGCUUUUAUACGAGAAGAAACACUCCUUCGUGAAGGAGCUUGACGGUAUCGUAAGAAUAAGGAUCGGCUAACUCCGUGCCAGCAGCCGCGGUAAUACGGAGGAUCCAAGCGUUAUCCGGAAUCAUUGGGUUUAAAGGGCCCGUAGGCGGUUUAAUAAGUCAGUGGUGAAAGCCCAUCGCUCAACGGUGGAACGGCCAUUGAUACUGCAAGACUUGAAUUAUUAGGAAGCAACUAGAAUAUGUAGUGUAGCGGUGAAAUGCUUAGAGAUUACAUGGAAUACUCAUUGCGAAGGCAGGUUGCUACUAAUGGAU